UACGGGGGGGGCAAGCGUUGUUCGGAAUUACUGGGCGUAAAGGGCUCGUAGGUGGCCAACUAAGUCAGACGUGAAAUCCCUCGGCUUAACCGGGGAACUGCGUCUGAUACUGGAUGGCUUGAGUUCGGGAGAGGGAUGCGGAAUUCCAGGUGUAGCGGUGAAAUGCGUAGAUAUCUGGAGGAACACCGGUGGCGAAGGCAGCACUCUGGGACGUGACUGACGCUGAGACGCGAAAGCGUGGGGAGCAAACAGG
rnacentral:rRNA from 1 species